UUUUCUUGACUUUGUUUUUGAAGCCGGGGGCUCGGAUCAGAGUGCCAAGUGGGCCAAUUUUGGUAAGCAGAACUGGCGCUGUGGGAUGAACCAAACGUCGAGUUAAGGCGCCCAAAUCGACGCUCAUGUGAAACCAUGAAAGGCGUUGGUUGCUUAAGACAGCAGGACGGUGGCCAUGGAAGUCGGAAUCCGCUAAGGAGUGUGUAACAACUCACCUGCCGAAGCAACUAGCCCUGAAAAUGGAUGGCGCUGUAGCGUCGUGCCUAUACUCGACCGUCAACGGCAAAGAUGGCUGGCGGGCAACCGUCGGCCGUUACGCCUUGACGAGUAGGAGGGCCGCGGCGGCGUGCGUAGAAGGGUCUGGGCGUGAGCCUGCCUGGAGCCGCCGUCGGUGCAGAUCUUGGUGGUAGUAGCAAAUACUCCAGCGAGGCCCUGGAGGACUGAUGUGGAGAAGGGUUUCUUGUGAACAGCUGUUGCACAAGAGUCAGUCGGUCCUAAGCCCUAGGAGAAAUCCGAAGCGAUGGGUUGCCGUUAACUCUAACGUGAAGGCACCCGUUUGGGCGAAAGGGAAUCCGGUUCCUAUUCCGGAACCUGGCAGUGGAACCGUUCCAAUUCGGGCCCUCUGAGGACUCGUCAGGGCAACCUGAAUAGACCCGGAGACGCCGACAGGAGGUUGGGGGAGAGUUGUCUCUUCUCUAUAAGCGAUCGAGUUCCCUGGAAACUUCUAGCAAGGAGAUAGGGUUUGGAUCGCGAAGAGCACUGCAGUUACGGCAGUGUCCCAAUCUUCCUCUCGGACCUUGAAAAUCCGGGUGAGGGCCACGAGGAACCCCACGCCAGACCGUACCCAUAUCCGCAGCAGGUCUCCAG
rnacentral:rRNA from 1 species